rnacentral:misc_RNA from 1 species
AAUUGUGAUGCUAUGGAUGCCCACCUGAGACAUUUGAGUUUUGAAGAUUGACUAAAAAUGAAAUUCAAGAAUGAACGAAGGUUGCAUGGCUUCACAUGAUCAUCUGAUACUUUAAAAACAAUGCCAAGCAAUUGUUAUAAGGUCAAGUUACCUUAAAAGAAUUUUUCUGUGCGGGCAAUAUAAACCAGGAAACAAUAUCUAUAGACAGGAAAGUUUCUUUAGCCCAAGAACAUAAACAUGAAGGACAAAAUCCUCUUCAAAAUCCAUUUACAAUACUUUGCAAAAUUUCAGUUUAAGCAUUAUGCAUAAGAAAAAUGAAGAGCUAGUGGAUUACUUGUUACCAAGCAUGCCAUGAA